AUUGAACGCUGGCGGCAGGCCUAACACAUGCAAGUCGAACGAGUGGCGGACGGGUGAGUAAUGUCUGGGAAAAUGCCCGAUGGAGGGGGAUAACUACUGGAAACGGUAGCUAAUACCGCAUACCAUCGGAUGUGCCCAGAUGGGAGUAGCUUGUAGGUGAGGUAACGGCUCACGUAGGCGACGAUCCCUAGCUGGUCGGAGAGGAGGAGAAGCGACACUGGAACUGAGACACGGUCCAGACUCCUCCGGGAGGCAGCAGUGGGGAAUAUUGCACAAUUGGCGCAAGCCUGAUGCAGCCAUGCCGCGUGUAUGAAGAAGGCGUUCUGGUUGUAAAGUACUUGCAGCGGGGAGGCGUUACCCGCAGAAGAAGCACCGGCUAACUCCGUGCCAGCAGCCGCGGUAAUUC
rnacentral:rRNA from 1 species